UACGUAGGGUCCGAGCGUUGUCCGGAAUUAUUGGGCGUAAAGAGCUCGUAGGCGGUUUGUCGCGUCUGCUGUGAAAUCCCGAGGCUCAACCUCGGGUCUGCAGUGGGUACGGGCAGACUGGAGUGCGGUAGGGGAGAAUGGAAUUCCUGGUGUAGCGGUGGAAUGCGCAGAUAUCAGGAGGAACACCGAUGGCGAAGGCAGUUCUCUGGGCCGUAACUGACGCUGAGGAGUGAAAGCGUGGGGAGCGAACAGG
rnacentral:rRNA from 1 species